UACGUAGGUGGCAAGCGUUGUUCGGAAUUAUUGGGCGUAAAGGGCGCGUAGGCGGCCUUGUAAGCGGGUGGUGAAAGUCCGGGGCUCAACCCCGGAUCUGCCAUGCGGACUGCGAGGCUCGAGCACUGUAGAGGCCGGUGGAAUUCCGGGUGUAGCGGUGGAAUGCGUAGAGAUCCGGAGGAACACCAGUGGCGAAGGCGGCCGGCUGGGCAGUGGCUGACACUGAGGCGCGACAGCGUGGGGAGCAAACAGG
rnacentral:rRNA from 1 species